CUCCCGGCAGCCCCCGCGCGGGGGGCGGGGGGGGUGAGGUGAGGUGAGGUAAGGUGAGGGGAUGAGAUGGCGGCGGCGGAGCCCCCCGCGCCCGGCCCCGUGUUCGCCGUCGCGGUUCGGCGGCCGCGCCUCGGGUGCCGGUGCCCUCGGGUGCUGUAAGCACAGGGCGGCGCCUCCCCGAGGGACGGCGGGGCUGCUGCGGGGGCACUGGGCUCCAAUCUCCGCCUCUUAGCGACGUGCUGGCAGGCCGGGGCGCACCGCUCAGCCGUCUGACCGGGGGGCUGCGCCUGCGGCCCUGCGCGGUCCGCGGCUUCCUCCGGCGUCGGGAAUAGAAGGCAGAGGAGGUGACUGCGGUUCUGUGACCGCUCAGCCGCAGCCACCGUCGCAGGGUCCCCAUCACGGCAGGAAGAACAUCAGCAGAUCAUCCAGGGGGAGGGAUCCAGAUCUGGCUGCUGCAGAUGGGUAAGAAGGUGAUCCACACUGCCAGGCAAGCAUCCCAGCAUCCUUUAUACGUGACACAUAAAGGAUUCACUUAAUUAUCCCACGGUAAUUCCCGGUUUUACCCACAGGAGGUCACACUUUGCCAGGCUUAUCAGCUUUUGAUGCAACCAGCCUUGUGCAAACGGCAUUGCUGCGGGACCAGCAAAGCCAGAGUUUUAGUAGCCCAGCUCAGGGUUUGGCCUAAUCCCUUCUGCACAUCCUGGACUUCUCUGACAAUGCUCCGACCACUCUCCUACCUCCCUGUAAGGGUGCCAGCCCCUCUCCAAAGCUGUUGCACACCCACGGGGACAGCUUUCCCACCUGAUGGCCCAUUCCACCUCCUCAGUGUUUCCUUGUUUUUUUAUUUUCAUUUUCCUUUUCCCUUUUCUUUUCCCCAUCCAGCCACCCAGUCCCUCUGUCGCCACUGACAGAAAGACUCCGUUACAUCCACACAUGCCUAGACCAUAACCCUAGUAUGGUUUCAUAAGAAAAUGAGGUAUGUCCAACUGCAUGCGUUUCUGUUCAAAUACGUUUCAGGAAAAUGAAUGGUAAGGUGGCAGAGCAUCGCCAUGCAAAUAAAUGGUUCAGCAUCA